GACGAACGCUGGCGGCGUGCCUAAUACAUGCAAGUAGAACGCACAGUUUAUACCGUAGCUUGCUACACCAUAGACUGUGAGUUGCGAACGGGUGAGUAACGCGUAGGUAACCUGCCUGGUAGCGGGGGGUAACUAUUGGAAACGAUAGCUAAUACCGCAUAAUAUUGAUUAUUGCAUGAUAAUUGAUUGAAAGAUGCUAUUGCAUCACUACCAGAUGGACCUGCGUUGUAUUAGCUAGUAGGUGAGGUAACGGCUCACCUAGGCGACGAUACAUAGCCGACCUGAGAGGGUGAUCGGCCACACUGGGACUGAGACACGGCCCAGACUCCUACGGGAGGCAGCAGUAGGGAAUCUUCGGCAAUAGACGAAAGUCUGACCGAGCAACGCCGCGUGAGUGAAGAAGGUUUUCGGAUCGUAAAGCUCUGUUGUAAGAGAAGAACGGGUGUGAGAGUGGAAAGUUCACACUGCGACGGUAUCUUACCAGAAAGGGACGGCUAACUACGUG
rnacentral:rRNA from 1 species